rnacentral:sRNA from 1 species
AAAAAAAGAGCAGUUCACAUCAUCAACAUUCAUAUCUAUUAUUGAAGAUGAUUUUGCGGUGCGGUUCAAAUAGUAACGAAAAUACAUAAAUAUAUAUGUAUAUGUAGAGAUUUUGAUACUGUUACAGUACUGUUGCAGUGCGGAUUUGGGUGCUGUGUAUGUCACCAUUCAUAGCCCUAAUCUCAUUCCAAGUUCAAGAGGUUCAACAAGUGAUUAAACAAGUCUGUAAACUUCAUUAACAAUUUUCAUCCGUUAUAUUCUUGUAAAGUAGCAGUAACGAUAAAGCUAAAUCAACAACUUAAAUCAAAGAUUGAAAUUCAUCUCCGUCGACGUUUCUUCAUAACCAUCAGUGGUUGUGACAGCGGCGGCUGCACCGCUGCAACAAGAUCAGAGGAAGCCAUUCCCAUGUGAAUGAUGUGCUUAAAAUCAGAGUGCAUACGCUCAGCCAUGGAGAAAGGAAGAUUAAU